rnacentral:lncRNA from 1 species
AAGUGGGCGGGGUGAACAGCUGCAGCGCGGGGCCCUCUUGGCGCGGGGCCCAAUUCAGCCGAAUCGGCUGAAUCGGCCUAAAGCCGGCCCUGCUCCCCCCCCCGACUCCUUCCCCCCAGCAACCGUGAGUGAAAUUAACAAGGAUGCCAGAAACCGCUCCUAACCCUGGGGGUGUAGGGAACAGCUGAGUUUAAACCUUUUUUAUGCAGGGGGCAGGCUUCUCCCUCCCUCAGCCAGUCUCCUUUUCUUACCAGUCCUGCGUACUGGCCCGUACCGGCUUACUUUCACCUCUGCCCCCUGCUAUCCCAUCCCCAUUCAGACAGUCCCAGUAAAACUAGGCGACAUCCCCAGGUCUGUCUGCCCCGCUCCCUACUGCAUCACACAGCAAAAAAGGGAUGUUGUCUUAGAAUAACAUCUGAUGUAUAAGGCCCUCACAGGAACAAACAAAUGAACUCUAUAAAGCAUUCAGACCAGUUUCUAAAUUAAGGGCAGGCAGGUUCAAAAUCAGGUGUGUGCUGUGUUGCAUAUAUAUCAUGAAAUGCUGAUAUCUAACACAUGGACAAACACCUGGUGCAAAUGCGUAGAUCAGGCAUUUGCACAUGCCAGUCAGGCACCUAAUCUGUGCAUGCAUCUUGGAUAUUUGUACAUAUAAGUCAAGCAUGUGAAUUUAUGCACAUGGUUGUUUAACUGAAAAUUAGGACCUAAAUCAUUUUCUGACAACAGGACUGGUUCCUUAAGCGGAAGCUGCAAUAAAUGCUAACUUUAAAAAAAAUGCAUUCAUUUUUCAGAAAUGUUCUCCAUUUCUCCCUCAUUCUACAGGUCAAGUGCAAUACUUGCACUUAAAUGAACUUUUCAUUCUGCUGCAAAUUACAAUACGUACAGAUUUUCCUUCAAUUGAGACUGCAGAGGAGACACAAUCCAGGCUCCAGAGGCAGCAAGGCAGAAAGCACAAAGGUGAACAAGGAAGAAAUGUGGAGUGAAGUAGGGCUAUAAAUCAGCUCUCAUCCAAGAAUCUGAAACCGUUUUACAAACAAGUCCCAAUGAAGCAUCACAAUACUGCAGCAAUACAUUUUACAGGUAGGUAAACUGAGGCACGGGGAAGUUAAUAGAUUUAUGUAAAAUCGCUGGGUGAGAUAGUGGCAAUGCAGGGAAAAAAUCAGGAGUUCUUGCUCUGUCACCUGCUUUAAUCACUAGAUCAUAGUGUCCUGCCCUCCAAAUAGUUGUUUUUUUGUGUUUUCAUAAUUUACAGAAUACGUUUCAUGAUGAAUUAACAAUAGCUCUGAUUUUUCUGAAACCAAUCAGACUUUAGCAUGUGGUCUGGGUCCUUUGGCACGAUGAGCAGAAUCUUUCUCCAUUGGUCUUCAAAGCCCUACUGCUGAAUUAGCAAUGUGAAGAAUUUGACAGUGUAAAAGUAAGAGGACCUGAGUUUCUUAAACAGCCUGCCUGCAGAUGCCACUAUUAAAUGUGUAAAUUAGAAAACUGUGAAUGCACAUGG